AUGCAGGCUGCAAGCCCUGUUUGUCAAGCACACAGGGAAGAGCACUGGGCACCCCAGAUUCCCCUGUGCUUUGUGAAGCAGAACUCUUUAAGGGUUCGGUUUGCACCCACCUUGCAAUCUACUUGGGCAUGGCCUCAGCUCAUUAGCAGACGAGGGAGGAAGCAGGGCAAGGGCCAAACAUCAGGGACCCAGGCUGGUUUCACCACCCACAGAGAUGCCAGACCGGCAGCCCCACGGCCAGAGGACACCCUUCAGCCUGCAGGACAUCCCGAGCAUCUGGGCACACCCAGUACAAGUGUUCUGUCACAUACAGGAGGCAGCAUCACUACUGUGUCUUCAUGAGGCUCCUGCAACAGCCUAAAAGAACAUCCAGAAGGCCUUAUCCAUCACCGGGCUGUCCUGGGCUCCAAGAGGAGAGUGGAUCUGAGAUGGGCUGGCUUCCAGGUGAUGAUUGCUCCCACCUCCCAGUAACAGCUUGCAGCAGUCUUGCCAAUUGCUGGGAUAUGUCCCUAAAUAUAGGAAGGUUUGGGGCUUUCAAAUGUUAUGUAGAUGAUUACGAGAUCUUCCUUUUAGGGAUAAAAGUGCAGUGACAUUUCGUGGAAGCAGUAUAUCACCUUUGAGAACAAAAGCAUGCAUUGUUUAAAAAUAAAGAAUAACCACAGAAACA
rnacentral:lncRNA from 1 species